rnacentral:rRNA from 1 species
AGCAGCCGCGGUAAUUCCAGCUCCAAUAGCGUAUAUUAAAGUUGUUGCAGUUAAAAAGCUCGUAGUUGAACUUCGGGACGGGUGGGUCGGUCGUGCCUCCGGUACGUACUGGUUCUACCAGUUCCUCCCUUCUGACGAACCACGAUGUCAUUAAUUUGAUGUCGUGGGGAAUCAGGACUGUUACUUUGAAAAAUUAGAGUGUUUAAAGCAGGCUAAAGCUUGAAUAGAUUAGCAUGGAAUAACGAAAUAGGACGUUUGAUCUUAUUUUGUUGGUUUCUAAGAUCGACGUAAUGAUUUAAUAGGGAUAGUUGGGGGCAUUAGUAUUCAAUUGUCAGAGGUGAAAUUCUUGGAUUUAUUGAAGACUAACUACUGCGAAAGCAUUUGCCAAGGAUGUUUUCAUUAAUCAAGAACGAAAGUUAGGGGAUCGAAGACGAUCAGAUACCGUCGUAGUCU